rnacentral:rRNA from 1 species
GACGAACGCUGGCGGCGUGCUUAACACAUGCAAGUCGAACGGAAAGGCCCUGCUUUUGUGGGGUGCUCGAGUGGCGAACGGGUGAGUAACACGUGAGUAACCUGCCCUUGACUUUGGGAUAACUUCAGGAAACUGGGGCUAAUACCGGAUAGGAGCUCCUGCUGCAUGGUGGGGGUUGGAAAGUUUCGGCGGUUGGGGAUGGACUCGCGGCUUAUCAGCUUGUUGGUGGGGUAGUGGCUUACCAAGGCUUUGACGGGUAGCCGGCCUGAGAGGGUGACCGGCCACAUUGGGACUGAGAUACGGCCCAGACUCCUACGGGAGGCAGCAGUGGGGAAUAUUGCACAAUGGGCGGAAGCCUGAUGCAGCAACGCCGCGUGCGGGAUGACGGCCUCCGGGUUGUAAACCGCUUUCGCCUGUGACGAAGCGUGAGUGACGGUAAUGGGUAAAGAAGCACCGGCUAACUACGUG